rnacentral:rRNA from 1 species
AGACGUCUACAUUAGAUACCCCCUGUAGUCCCAGCCGUAAACUAUGCGCGUUAGGUGUAUCGGUGACCACGAGUCACCGAGGUGCCGAAGGGAAACCGUGAAACGUGCCGCCUGGGAAGUACGGUCGCAAGGCUGAAACUUAAAGGAAUUGGCGGGGAGCACCACAACGGGUGGAGCCUGCGGUUUAAUUGGACUCAACGCCGGGAAGCUCACCGGAUAAGACAGCGGAAUGAUUGCCGGGCUGAAGACUCUGCAUGACUAGCUG